rnacentral:rRNA from 1 species
UGGGGAGUAUUGGACAAUGGGCGAAAGCCUGAUCCAGCCAUGCCGCAUGAGUGAAGAAGGCCUUUGGGUUGUAAAGCUCUUUUAGUGAGGAAGAUAAUGACGGUACUCACAGAAGAAGUCCUGGCUAACUCCGUGCCAGCAGCCGCGGUAAUACGGAGAGGGCUAGCGUUAUUCGGAAUUAUUGGGCGUAAAGGGCGCGUAGGCUGGUUAGUAAGUUAAAAGUGAAAUCCCGAGGCUUAACCUUGGAACUGCUUUUAAAACUGCUAACCUAGAGAUUGAAAGAGGAUAGAAGAAUUCCUAGUGUAGAGGUGAAAUUCGUAAAUAUUAGGAGGAACACCAGUGGCGAAGGCGUCUAUCUGGUUCAAAUCUGACGCUGAGGCGCGAAGGCGUGGGGAGCAAACA